ACAGACUGCAGAUGUCCUCGAUGACACACAUGCAUUGCCUGCAUGUUGAACUUGACUGGCUUUAGGUACAUUGCACCUGCUGCUACAGUGCCUCACACUGGGAUGCAGGAGGCAACUAUCUGUCUUCAGGAUUGGGAUGUAAAGAAAAGAUGCAGCUAUGUUGUUGCAAGAAUCAAAUGAGAACAUAUUGGCAAGAAUCUUUUGCAUACUCUGAUGCAAUAUAUAAAAAUAUAUAUUGUCAGUUGAUCUUCAUAUAUUGUACAAAGUAAAGAUGACUCCUGCUUUAUCAAA